rnacentral:lncRNA from 10 species
CCAGGAGGGAGGCCAGUCGCGGGACUGGGGAACUGGCAGGCUGCUGGCCGGCGCGUGGAACCACCCCCGCCACCCCCGCACCCCCAAUGUUGAACCAGAGUUCUUAACUUCCAUGUGCACGAACCCCAGGGAGUGCAGGAACACCCCCAAACUGUGCACAAAUUGAGCAUGUUUGUGCAUUCUUCAGGGGAGAGGGGCCGUGGGCUUUCCUCCGGUUUUCAGAAGUCCACGGCCCCCUAAGGAUCCAAAUCUUAGGCUUUAAGGGGUUCUGUGCAGAUCCUCAGCAGCCUCCCCAGCUUCAGAUCCGGCCUCCUGAGCUCCAGUCUCUCUGAUACCUGCACCCAGGCUCAGGUGCAGGCCAGAGCUCACCUGACUCUGGUGAGCUGCUCUGCCCUACACCGGGAUUGCAGCACACAUCACAUGGCGCUGUCAUUGUCAGAUCCAUCUCUGUGUCCCCACACCCAGCCUGACACAUGGAGCCUGGGAUACAAUAGAUGCUCAAACCGUUGGAGACACGCACAGCAACUUGGGGUAGGGAAGAGAGUCUGGAUGGGAGACAUCAGACAUCACUAUGUCAUGGAGAACCCCCUGCAACUGCAUAAAGGGACUAACAAUUUGUACCUGGCCUUCGUGAGACCCCUGGAGGGAACUGCCACUGGCGCUGGUUUCGUAGCAAGAAUAUACCUCAAAUGACCAAACAGGAAUGAAAAACUUCAGAUGGUUUAGGUGCCAGUGGCUUCCGAAUAAAACAGCAUUCUUGAAGUGAACAGCUGAUGAGGACAUGAAAUAUUAUGCCAAAGCUGGCAUCACACUGUUCUUUUUCCUGGAUGAAAAUCUCUCUGAGAAGCAUUUGCUCUUAACUUUGGUGUCCUGGGGACUGCUGCCUUAUCCCAGGAAGCCACCCAGAGUCUUGGAUGUGUGGGAUCCUUAGGACUUCAUGGUAAACCUGCUCUAGUCCCUCGGGUUAGUAAAAUGAAGCCCAGGACAUCUGAGAGCCCCCAGCACUUCCAUAGAAAUGGACCAAAAUCCCUUCUCCCAGGGGGAGAAACCUGGAAUAAGCUCAAGAGGACAGACGGCUAAAUUUUCAAGAAUCGUGUGAGCUGCUGUUAAACAAGCCAUUAUUAAAACUUUAAUUGUGUAAACUUACAAUUAGGUCAGUUAUAUUAAAAGUAAAAGUGAUACAUACCC